AUGAAACUCUUCUCUUGAAUAUACGCUCAGCCUGUCCAGUGUCUGGACCUACAUGCAGGAAAUGCAGCAAACAGACCAGAACUUUCCCAGUGGAGCCCUUUUCUUUUGCCAGAGUAAAUUCAUGAAGAUUUCUUUUAUGUCUCCACAAGGAAUCUCCACAGGAAGAGCAAGCCCUGGCUGUUAUUUGUUCAAUAAGAGAAGAUGGAGCAGAGCAUCAACAUAUCCUGGGAAAUCAAUAAAGCUGGAGCCUCUUGUGUAAAUCCAUGGGAAAGCCAACAAAACCAUUUGUAAAUUUUAAAGGUUCAGUGAAGAAAAAGACACUUAAGCUGAUGUUCAGACUGAUAUAUUAAAAGUGGUUCUGCUUAUA